GAUGAAGAACGUAGCGAAAUGCGAUAAGUAAUGUGAAUUGCAGAAUUCAGUGAAUCAUCGAAUCUUUGAACGCACAUUGCGCCCGCCAGUAUUCUGGCGGGCAUGCCUGUCCAAGCGUCAUUUCAACCCUCGAACCCCUCCGGGGGGUCGGCGUUGGGGAUCGGCCCUUUACGGGGCCGGCCCCGAAAUACAGUGGCGGUCUCGCCGCAGCCUCUCCUGCGCAGUAGUUUGCACACUCGCAUCGGGAGCGCGGCGCGUCCAAUGCCGUAAAACACCCAACUUUCUGAAAUGUUGACCUCGGAUCAGGUAGGAAUACCCGCUGAACUUAAGCAUAUCAAUAAGCGGAGGA
rnacentral:misc_RNA from 1 species